rnacentral:rRNA from 1 species
AGAACGAACGCUGGCGGCAUGCCUAAUACAUGCAAGUCGAACGAACUCUUCGGAGUUAGUGGCGCACGGGUGCGUAACGCGUGGGAAUCUGCCCUUGGGUUCGGAAUAACAGUUGGAAACGACUGCUAAUACCGGAUGAUGACGAAAGUCCAAAGAUUUAUCGCCCAGGGAUGAGCCCGCGUAGGAUUAGCUAGUUGGUGAGGUAAAGGCUCACCAAGGCGACGAUCCUUAGCUGGUCUGAGAGGAUGAUCAGCCACACUGGGACUGAGACACGGCCCAGACUCCGACGGGAGGCAGCAGUAGGGAAUAUGGACAAUGGGCAAAGCCUGAUCCAGCAAUAGCGCGUGAGUGGUGAAGGCCUAGGUUGUAAAGAGCUUUACCCGUAGAUAGAUAAUAGACAGUAUACGGAGAAUAAGACCCGGCCGUAACUACCGUACGCCACGACAGACCGC